rnacentral:rRNA from 1 species
GAUGAACGCUGGCGGCGUGCCUAAUACAUGCAAGUCGAGCGAACGGACGAGAAGCUUGCUUCUCUGAUGUUAGCGGCGGACGGGUGAGUAACACGUGGAUAACCUACCUAUAAGACUGGGAUAACUUCGGGAAACCGGAGCUAAUACCGGAUAAUAUUUUGAACCGCAUGGUUCAAAAGUGAAAGACGGUCUUGCUGUCACUUAUAGAUGGAUCCGCGCUGCAUUAGCUAGUUGGUAAGGUAACGGCUUACCAAGGCAACGAUGCAUAGCCGACCUGAGAGGGUGAUCGGCCACACUGGAACUGAGACACGGUCCAGACCCCUACGGGAGGCAGCAGUAGGGAAUCUUCCGCAAAGGGCGAAAGCCUGACGGAGCAACGCCGCGUGAGUGAUGAAGGUCUUCGGAUCGUAAAACUCUGUUAUUAGGGAAGAACAUAUGUGUAAGUAACUGUGCACAUCUUGACGGUACCUAAUCAAAAAGCCACGGCUAACUACGUG